GAUGAACGCUAGCUACAGGCUUAACACAUGCAAGUCGAGGGGUAACGAGAGGGAAGCUUGCUUUCCUUGUCGACGACCGGCGCACGGGUGAGUAACGCGUAUCCAACCUGCCCCCAACUAGGGAAUAACCUUGCGAAAGUAAGACUAAUACCCUAUAAUUUCCUCAGAUGUCAUCUGACGAGGAAUAAAGAUUUAUCGGUUGUGGAUGGGGAUGCGUCUGAUUAGCUUGUUGGCGGGGUAACGGCCCACCAAGGCAACGAUCAGUAGGGGUUCUGAGAGGAAGGUCCCCCACAUUGGAACUGAGACACGGUCCAAGCUCCUACGGGAGGCAGCAGUGAGGAAUAUUGGCCAAUGGGCGGAAGCCUGAACCAGCCAAGUAGCGUGCAGGAUGACGGCCCUAUGGGUUGUAAACUGCUUUUAUACAGGAAUAAAGUUAGCCACGUGUGGUUAUUUGUAGGUACUGUAUGAAUAAGGACCGGCUAAUUCCGUGCCAGCCGCCGCCGUAA
rnacentral:rRNA from 1 species